rnacentral:rRNA from 1 species
ACACGACUACAUUAGAUACCCCUGUAGUCCAGGGUGUAAACGCUGCGGGCUUGGUGUUGGGGGUCCUUUGAGGGCGCCCAGUGCCGGAGAGAAGUUGUUAAGCCUGCUGCUUGGGGAGUACGUCCGCAAGGAUGAAACUUAAAGGAAUUGGCGGGGGAGCACCGCAACGGGAGGAGCGUGCGGUUCAAUUGGAUUCAACGCCGGACAACUCACCAGGAGCGACGGUUACAUGAAGGCCAGGCUGAUGACCUUGCCUGAUUUUUCCG